UCCCCCACCGCAUUAGCUUCUGCCUUGUUUAUCCACUCCCACCUCCCCGACAGUGAGGCGGAGGCCAUGCCGCCGCGGCCGCUGCGGCGGGCGUCCAGGCCGGCCCCUCCGCGUGCUCCUCGCCGACGCUGGGGCACCAGACGCGUUUUCCGUUCCGUCUUGGGCGUAGCCGAGUGCCAGCCGGCUCAACCCGCUCGAGGUGUCAGGUCGCACCGCCGCAACAGGCGUCCAUGGCGGCCCCUCCUCGUGCUCCUCGCCGACGACGGGGCACCAUGACGCUGUUUUCUCCGUUCCGUCUUGGGCGUAGCCGAGCGCCGCCUGCUCGCCCGCGCCACCGCGGCGGGCGUCGAGGACGCCUCCAUUCGAGCGCUCCUCGCUGACAACGAGCACCAGACCGCCGGUUUUCAGGGUCCAGGCUGAGAGGUCCUGCAGCCACGCCCGAGCUGCGCAGCUCGCCUCCAACCCUGCAGCAGCCGCUACCUUGCCGCGCGACCGUGGAGGAAUCUUUGAUGGUGAACUACGAGGUCAGGGGAAAAGUAGCCAACAGCUCGAGCGGUGCGCUCGAUUCAUGUCGCCGUCGCAGGACCACUGGUCCUUCGGGAGGCGGCGAGGCAGACGGGAGGCAGGCGUGGUAGGCGCAGCAAGCCUUUGCGGCAGUUGCAGGCAGGGCUAGUAAUUUCAGGUUCUGCACACACUCAAUCCAUCCUAGUUUAGCUAUCAAAAUUUUCUUCAAUGUGCGUGCACUUAUUGAGAGAGGUUGUACCUUUCAAUCUAGCUGUAGAUGGGGCCAUGGCAAAUUUAGUAUAAGUUUGUUCAAUCCCAUGGCAAUUUUCUAACAAAAUCUACCCUUUAUCAUGGCGAUUACAUAUUACUUUGUUGGAAGUUCAUGGAAUUUGUUCAUACCUUGGCAAAUUUGUAUCUGGUCGCAUGGAAAAUUCUAUAACAAAAAAUGAUGGCCAUGUCAACCAUAGCUUCAAGGUGUGUUUUGCCAUGCCAACUUGAAGCUUAGGUGUUUCCAUGACGGCAACAUUUGUGUUGUGUCUUUUUUGAAUGUUGCCAUGGCAAUUACAUUUUUGUUUGAGAACAUGGCAACUUUGGUGUUCUAACUUUUUCUUGCCAUGGCAAAAUUUAUUAUCUUUUUUUUAAAACAUGGCAAACUUGCCAUGGCAACUUUGCUAUGUUCAAGAACAUGACAAAGUUAUGGAUGUUCAAAAACAUGGCAAACUUAAAAUGUUUUUGGCAAAUGUAUUGACGGGGCAUGGCAAUUCUAGUUCAUGGGGCAUGGCAAAAAUACCUUUAUUCACAGCCAAAAGUGAGAUUUUUUCUACGUUUUUCUUGCCAUGGCAACUUUACUUUAAUGGCAUGUCAAUUUUUACUUUAUUUUUUUGACAUGGCAAAUUUAUUGUAUAGAGCAUGACAAUUUUAAUUUAAAUAUGAUGGCAAAUUUACAUUUCCACACAUUAAUUUUUUUAAUAUGUAGCAUGGCAAAUAUACUUGUGUAGCCAUGGCAAUUUUUAAUUUAUUUCCAUGACAAAAUUACACCAUUUUUGCCAUGGCAAAAUUUACUUCAUUUUUUUGCCACAGCGUACUUUUAAUGACAUGGCAAAUUUUAGUUUUUUUUCAUGGCAAAUUUAUUGUAAAGAGCAUGGCAAUUUUAAUUUAAAUAUGAUGGCAAAUUUACAUUUUCCGGAACAUGACAAAUUUUUACUAUGUAGCAUGGUAAAUGUAUUUGUAUUCCCAUGGCAAUUUUUAAUUUAUUUUCCAUGGCAAAAUUUAAUCCAUUUUUUGCCAUGGAAAAAUUUACUCCAUUUUUGCCAUGGCAAAAAUACUUCUAUUCACAUGGCAAAUUUUAGUUUAACUUGCCAUGUGAAAAUUUCCUGCUUUUUUACAUUUGUAUAUUGAAAGAUGGCAAAGUUAAGAAAUUUUGAUCCAUUGAUAUAGCAUUGCUCAGAUUUUUAUACAUGCCCAAUGACAAUUUUUGUAGAAAUCUUUUUUGUUGUAUCUGAUAUUUCCAUUUUUUUUUGUUUUUCCAUAAUAUCAUAGCAAACCUUUUCCACACUCAAUUGUAAUGAAGUCUGUAUGAACAUCAUGGCAAAUCAUGUAAUUUUUUAAUAUACCCUUUUUCAUGAUUAUAUGCUAGUUUUGUUCAUUAGAGCAUGGCAACUUUUUGUCGCGUACUAUGGAUUUUCUAGAUUUGUUUCAAGGAGAGAUUUCUUGGUCCAGUGCAUUUUUAGGCCUUUUUCCGUUUCUGUCUAUUUGUUGGGAUAGCAGUUUUGUUUUUUUGAAACAAGGGUAGUAGCAGUUUUUGGGCCUACAGAAAAUGCAAUUCUUUGUUUUUUAAUUUAUUCAAUUUAAUGAAGUUUUUGGGCUGGUCUGUUGGAGUCAUUGAGCUGGCCCGCUGAAGGCGAGCGGAGACAGGCGUUCGGGAGGGGGGUAGAUCGUAACGAACGAAAUCGUUCGUUCGGUCCUCUCUCCUGGAUCGAAAGAAACCUCCCCUCCCCGAACGUUCGGGGUGUUAUUUCUAAACCGAACGAAGCGCAGCUGACGUUGCCGUCUAUAUCCAGAUGAGAUCGCCUCCUACUUUUCCUCUGACUGUUAUCUCGCAAACCAAUUCUAUUAUAUAUAUCUCCUGCUUAUUAGCCGAUUCUGUUUGAUUCACGUACGUUCGUUCUCUCAGGUGCUUCUUCUUCCAGCAGGCGUCACCUGCGAGUCUCCCAUCUCUUCUUCAAUCAAGCUCACCACCAGGGGAAAAUGGUGGCGACGGCUACGUCUGCAACUGCCGCGCGAUGGGCGGCGGCGGCUGCCACUGCGGCUCUUACCUAGUAUCCAAAAGGAAGGACGGCAAACUAAAUACGCCACAAAAGGAGAUAAUAAUGGACAAAAUCUCUAAGAUAGGGCCCGAAUUACCUUUGCUCGUGCUGAAGAUGACAAAAAAUGGUAUACUGAAUCCAAACCUGCAUAUCUGCGACGCAUAUGUUUCGAGGUGUCUCCAGUAUUUCAUCGACGCAUAUGUUUCGAGGCGUCUCCCGCACGAACAAGAGGGCGACCAAAUAAUACCUCUCCCGCACGAACAAGAGGGCGACCAAAUGAUACCUCUCAAAGUUUUGCUAGAAGGUAUGGAGGUGAACACAAAGCUGGUCAUCAAGAAAUAUCCCUCUGGGACGUGGCAUACUACUCCCUCCGUCCGGAAAUACUUGUCAUCAAAAUAAAUAAAAGAGGAUGUAUCUAGAUGUAUUUUAGUUCUAGAUACACCCUUUUUUGUCCAUUUUGAUGACAAGUUUUUUCGGACGGAGGGAGCAUAUAUCAAAAAGACUGGAAGCAAUUGAUCAAAGAUGCCGGGAUGGAGGCGGGAGACAUCUGCCUCUUCCAAGUUGUAGACAGGGGCAGCAGCGAGCUCACGAUGAUGGUCCAUAUGAUCCGCACGUCGGAAAUGCUGGAAAGCACCAUCGUCGAGGCCAGCGAGCCUCGCGCGGAGGAGACACGCUUGGCCCGGCGGGAGGAUACGUCGGCAAGCCUCGCGCUGAGCCCUCCGGAGGGAGCGACAGCGACAGCCGCCCCCAUCUGCAUGUGAAGAGGAGCCUCUCGCCUUCACCUGGCGAGUCCCUCCAAAAGGAGAAGAAGAUGCAGCUAGGGGCCACGACGUCCACCGAGCCCUCACCGGAGGCGCCCGCUGAGGAGACCCAUGCGCCCCUGUCGAGCCCUGAGGGGCGUGAGGAGAUGGCCCGCCAUGUUGAGGCGGCGACGAGGCAGACGGUGACCGAAGAUGGUUUUGUGACUUGGCAGCCGCUCGAAGACUUGCCUCCCCCAGCUGGGAGGAACUAGCUUCGCAAGGGAAGGGGGCCUCCGGAGGUGAGGAGGUGCCUCUAAAGGCGCGACGAGCCCCCAGCACAAGCCCACAGACGUGAAAUAACAAUUUUGCAUCUGAUAAUAGGCUACGUACUUUUACAAGUCUAAUAAAAGGCCAAAACAAUUAUUAGCCAGGGUACUUCCACAUCUCAGAAUCACAUUUGUCUUCCCCAAUAGACAACUCAAGAAAGACGAUUGGCUUAGUCAAUCAAUCGAGACGUGCUUCCAUAUCC